CCUUCGAUAGCUCAGUUGGUAGAGCGGAGGACUGUAGAGGUGCAAUUGCCAUCCUUAGGUCGCUGGUUCGAAUCCGGCUCGAAGGA